rnacentral:rRNA from 1 species
GGGGAAUAUUGGACAAUGGGCGAAAGCCUGAUCCAGCAAUGCCGCGUGUGUGAAGAAGGCCUGCGGGUUGUAAAGCACUUUAAGCAGGGAAGAAAGGCGGGAGGUUAAUACCCUUUUGCACUGACGUUACCUGCAGAAUAAGCACCGGCUAACUCCGUGCCAGCAGCCGCGGUAAUACGGAGGGUGCGAGCGUUAAUCGGAAUUACUGGGCGUAAAGCGCGCGUAGGCGGUUUGUUAAGUCAGCGGUGAAAGCCCCGGGCUUAACCUGGGAAUGGCAGUUGAUACUGGCGAGCUUGAGUGUGGUAGAGGGGUGUGGAAUUUCCGGUGUAGCAGUGAAAUGCGUAGAGAUCGGAAGGAACACCAGUGGCGAAGGCGGCACACUGGACCAACACUGACGCUGAGGUGCGAAAGCGUGGGGAGCAAAC